rnacentral:rRNA from 1 species
GAUGAACGCUGGCGGCGUGCCUAAUACAUGCAAGUCGAGCGAACAGACGAUGAGCUUGCUCCUCUGACCUUAGCGGCGGACGGGUGAGUAACACGUGGAUAACCUACCUAUAAUACUGGGAUAACUUCGGGAAACCGGAGCUAAUACCGGAUAAUAUAUUGAACCGCAUGGUUCAAUAGUGAAAGACGGUUUUGCUGUCACUUAUAGAUGGAUCCGCGCCGCAUUAGCUAGUUGGUAAGGUAACGGCUUACCAAGGCAACGAUGCGUAGCCGACCUGAGAGGGUGAUCGGCCACACUGGAACUGAGACACGGUCCAGACUCCUACGGGAGGCAGCAGUAGGGAAUCUUCCGCAAUGGGCGAAAGCUUGACGGAGCAACGCCGCGUGAGUGAUGAAGGUCUUCGGAUCGUAAAACUCUGUUAUUAGGGAAGAACAAAUGUGUAAGUAACUAUGCACGUCUUGACGGUACCUAAUCAGAAAGCCACGGCUAACUACGUG